rnacentral:rRNA from 1 species
GGGUAAUCUGCCCUGAAGUGGGGAAUAACACCGGGAAACCGGUGCUAAUACCGCAUACGGUCACGAUGUCUGCGGAUGUUGUGAUGAAAGGAGCAAUUCGCUUCAGGAGGAGCCCGCGGCUGAUUAGCUAGUUGGUGAGGUAACGGCUCACCAAGGCAACGAUCAGUAUCCGGUCUGAGAGGACGGUCGGACACACUGGAACUGAGACACGGUCCAGACUCCUACGGGAGGCAGCAGUGGGGAAUUUUUCGCAAUGGGGGCAACCCUGACGAAGCAACGCCGCGUGGGUGAUGAAGUCUCUUGGGACGUAAAACCCUUUCGACGGGGACGAAACCGCAAGGUUGACGGUACCCGUAGAAGAAGCCCCGGCUAACUCCGUGCCAGCAGCCGCGGUAAUACGGGGGGGGCAAGCGUUGUUCGGAAUUACUGGGCGUAAAGGGUGCGUAGGCGGUGCGCUAAGUCGGAUGUGAAAACUCUGGGCUCAACCCAGAGCCUGCAUCCGAAACUGGCGUGCUAGAGUUCUGGAGGGGGUAGCGGAAUUCCUGGUGUAGCGGUGAAAUGCGUAGAUAUCAGGAGGAACACCGGUGGCGAAGGCGGCUACCUGGACA